UACGUAGGGGGCUAGCGUUGUCCGGAAUCAUUGGGCGUAAAGCGCGUGUAGGCGGUCCGGUAAGUCCGCUGUGAAAGUCGGGGGCUCAACCCUCGAAUGCCGGUGGAUACUGUCGGGCUAGAGUGCGGAAGAGGCGAGUGGAAUUCCUGGUGUAGCGGUGAAAUGCGCAGAUAUCUGGAGGAACACCGGUGGCGAAGGCGGCAUCCUGGACCAACACUGACGCUGAGUGAGCGAAAGCCAGGGGAGCAAACGGG
rnacentral:rRNA from 1 species